rnacentral:lncRNA from 1 species
CUAGUAUUCAGUUUGCUCAUAUGGAAGUUAAUGACAAACUAUGAGAAAAAAUCAAAGAGUGACUGCAAGAUCAAUUUCUGACUGAGCUCACCAUCCAUGAUGAAACCUAUGUUGUGAUCCAAGUGGGGUGCCCAAGGCCCAGGGGACCAAGGCUAAGGCCAAGGUCCAUCAUUCAUGAGGGCUUCAUGGAGGCUCUAGGGCUAGUUGGGCCCUAGGUUGAAAGGCUGUGGGCCUUUCGGGUUCUUGAGGUCUAGCUUAUGUGGGCCUCAAGGGACCAACUCUUUAUGGGCCAGGUCUGGGCCCAG